CACAAACGUAAGUGACUCCACCAGUGGUACCGAAUACGGUGGAGUCCAGAAGCUGGAGGCAGUUUCAUUAGCGGAGUUGAACGCCUACGUUCUAACCUCACUCCACAAGACAAUGUCUCCUCCUGCACAUGCACUAUAUGUUUUAACGCAAGUGCUGUUGGAGUUGUGAGAUAACGUGUUGAGAUGAUGGUGGCAAAUGGAGAAGAAUCGCUGUCUUUGUUGCCUUCGACACAGCUAUCACUAAGCUCACCUAUGCCAGGGCCACAGAGGUUUCCAACCCUAUUGGUUAUGGUGAGCAAGACCCAGCAGAAUAUAACCUCCCUUACUUCCUCCAAGACAUUGUUCUGAAGAGCUACAUUUCAUCUCAAGCUUACAGAGUUAAUUUUUCUUUCCUCCAUGAGUUAUUUACUGUCGCACGAAUCUUUGACCCCAAUCAGAGAAACCCAGGGCCCUCCUUUGCACUGCAUGUAACUCAUAUAAAAUUCUCGCCACUUGGGUCUCAUUAAACAGCAAACUACUUACAAAUUUAACUGUUUGUCUAAAGGGUGAGGGCAACAAUCGUGGUGACAAUAUCUCUGGAGAAAAUUGUGCUUUUUGCAAGUACCCUGUCGGUGACUCCUUCUCAAAGGACACUCAUCUUCCUGAAGCUAAUGACCAGACCAUUGGACCUGCAAGUGUUGUGCAAGAAGCGUCAAACACCUACCAGGUGGAGUCCAAUAGUGAGAAUGUUGAUGAUCCACAGGACCACCACAAAGAAGGCCCGCAAAGCUUAGUUUUCACCAUGGAGCGGAAUAGAGGAACAAAUGUUUCUCCCAUGCAUAUCGUCAAGGCACUCACAUUAUGUUUUCCAAAUAAUAGUUAUGACACUAAGUCUACCAUGAAGUUAAACAUUUUGCGUUUAUGAUAUAGAACAUAUUUCAAAUUUUCAGUAA